CAACUCAUUCCUGUUAGAAUGGAAAUCAACAAAAAUAGGAGUAAUAAUAAAAAUUGGUGAAUGUAGGGAGAAAAGAACACUUAUACACUGCUGGUAGGAUUGUGAAUUAGUACAACCUGUAUGGACAUCAAUAUAGAGGUUUCCCAAAGAGAUGGAAUUGAACUACCAUAUGACCCAGGUGUACCACUCCUCAGCAUUUAUCCAAAAGAAUUAGCGUCAUUAUAUCUAGUAAUACAUGCAUAUCCUUGUUAUAAUAGCAUAAUUCACAAUAACCAACUAUGGAAUCAACCUCAGUGAUGUUAAUGGAUGAAUGUAUAGAGAACAUGUGGUACAUAUGCACAGUGGAGUUUUAUUCAGCCAUUAAGGAGAAUGAGAUUAUGUCAUUUGCAAGAAAAUGGAUGAUAUUAAGUGAAGUAAGCCAAACUCAGAAUGUCAAGUGUUGUAUGUUUUCUCUCAUUUGUGAAAGAUGAGAACAAGGAAAAGAAAAGUUG
rnacentral:lncRNA from 1 species